rnacentral:lncRNA from 1 species
GUGCUGAAUUUCUUUUUCUUUUUUUUCACACAUUAUUUUUGGUUGAAAUAUAUAUGGCUUCCAGGUGUUCUUGACAUUUCAUACUUGCAUAUCAUCGCUUCACUUAUGCGAUUUCCUCCCAACCUUAUCAUACGGUAAGAACCCAAGGAAAUUAAGGAUGAAAUAGUAGGAAAUUCCAGCAUUUUUAUUUGACUUAAUUAGGGUCAGAUAAAAUCAAUUUUCAAUAUGAAUACUUGUAUUGCUGAAAUUACUGAAACAAUUAUGUGAACGUAUUUCAUGUGGUAUUAUAUGAUGAGUAACUAUGAAAUUAAUGUGUUUCUUCACCUCCACAAAAUUUAUCUUACAAGUAA